rnacentral:rRNA from 1 species
UACGAAGGGGACUAGCGUUGUUCGGAAUUACUGGGCGUAAAGCGCACGUAGGCGGAUUUGUUAGCAGGGGUGAAAUCCCGGGGCUCAACCUCGGAACUGCCUUUGAUACUGCAAGUCUCGAGUCCGAUAGAGGUGGGUGGAAUUCCUAGUGUAGAGGUGAAAUUCGUAGAUAUUAGGAAGAACACCAGUGGCGAAGGCGGCUCACUGGCCCGGUACUGACGCUGAGGUGCGAAAGCGUGGGGAGCAAACAGG